UACCCAAGUCAACAUGGCGGCGUCCAUGAAUAGAAGAAAGCUCAAUCAAUCAAUGUGCGCUCUUCUUAAACUGAUCGGUAAAUGGUCAGCUUGGAUUCCAGCAGAGGGUGAGAGUGCCACUAUCAAUGAUUUGGGAGGAGGAUCAAAUUGAAGACAAAAGAUGAAGCACUCAGAAAUGGACCUAUAACUUGUGCAUUAAGUCCAGUAGCAGGUUGGCAAUGGUAGACAGACUUUUGCCUUAGGCCAUCGCUCAUUUGGUUAAGCUGGCAGUGCAGGAAUUCAUCUCAGGAUCAUGUGUUUUGUUGGGUGAUGAGGAGUUCCUUUCAUACCCUCAGAUUAUUGCCAAUCUUUAUCAGAUUUCCUUAUCCUGACAUUUACAAGAGAGAACUUAAUUAGUUAAUGUUUACAUUUUAAAAGCAUGUUUGAAGUACCAGUAAUUUUUAGCAUUCAUUUGUUUUAGCUCACCUGAACCAAAGGGUGAAGUGUCAGCCUUUCUGAUUGAAAUCUGUCCUUUGUUGUCAAUGU